rnacentral:lncRNA from 1 species
AACCCCAGGCUUUUCUUAUUAUUCUCAAAGCAGAGCCAUUAACUUUCUCUAACUUUUGCUUCAGGUGUUGAAAAGCUAAUUCACAGCUCCCCAGCUGCCUACUUGUGGGGACAGCUUUCUUCGGCUGCAGGCAGUAAUUGCUUUACUGCUAUCCUAAAUUGCCCUGGAGAAGAAAGCAAAGCUUUGCUUGCUUUAUCCUGUGGAUUUAAAGCAGUGCCUAUACUUGCUCUGCAUAGAAGAGAACUUCUCCUACAGAUAUUUUUAUUCUAAUCCACGCAACACAUUCCAGUUGAAACAAGAUUUUGAAGACACGCCCUAGUGUACAUUUUAUCUGCACUGGCCUCAUGAGGAAAAUCAAAUAAGAUUAUCUUACAUUACAAAAUUUUCUUGCAUACUUUAUGCAACAGUGGAAACAACACAGGAUUGGAAUUAGAAGACCUGGUUUUAAAUACCAAAUUGUUCCCCAGAAUGAUCUGAUCCUACUGCUUAGCCUAUCUGGAUGUCAGUUUCUACAUCUCUAAAAGGAAGACACACAGAGGAGAAUGCUAUCUGAAGAUGGAGGCAGAGAUUGAAGUGAUGCAUCUACAGGGAUUGCUGGCCGCCACCACAAGCUAGAAGAAGCAAGGGAGGAUUAUUCCCUAGAGCCUUUGGAUGGAGCAAGGCUAGUCUACACCUUGAUUUUAGACUUCUAGCCACUAAAACAAUGGGAAGAUAAAUUUCUGUUGUUUGAGGCUACCCAGUUUCUGGCAAUAUGUUAUGGCAGCUCCAGGAAACUAACAUAGGGUGUUAACAAUAGAACUUACCUGACAGUGGUUUGACAUCAAGUCUAGUGAGGCCUGGCCUGGUAAGGUGGGAAUUAGCAGAAGUGCAUUGUUCCAGAAUCCUGAGAUUCUGGGACAUUCAUUGUGAACCAGCCAUAUAUAUUAUAUACCUCUGUCUGCCUUAUUCAUCAUAUCCUCUCACUUCCAAUGUUUCUCUAUCAGCUUCCAAUCACCAUGUUAUUCAUUGAUUUGU